rnacentral:rRNA from 1 species
GAUGAACGCUAGCUACAGGCUUAACACAUGCAAGUCGAGGGGUCUCAAUGGAGCUUGCUCUUGAGAGACGACCGGCGCACGGGUGAGUAACGCGUAUCCAACCUGCCCUUCAUAUUGGGAUAGCCUUCCGAAAGGAAGAUUAAUACCGAAUAACAUGAUAGAGUUGCCUGAUUUUAUCAUGAAAGCUCCGGCGAUGAAGGAUGGGGAUGCGUUCCAUUAGGUAGUAGGCGGGGUAACGGCCCACCUAGCCUACGAUGGAUAGGGGUUCUGAGAGGAAGGUCCCCCACACUGGGACUGAGACACGGUCCAGACUCCUACGGGAGGCAGCAGUGAGGAAUAUUGGUCAAUGGGCGCAAGCCUGAACCAGCCAAGUAGCGUGAAGGAUGACUGCCCUAUGGGUUGUAAACUUCUUUUAUACGGGAACAAACCCUGGUACGUGUACCGGAUUGCGUGUACCGUAUGAAUAAGCAUCGGCUAACUCCGUGCCAGCCGCCGCAGUAAUAC